GAUUGCAUAACAGUAGGCUAUGGUAGUUCUACUAUGGUUGACGAGGUAAAGGGAGUAUCGAAUCUUCGGCGGAUGCCCUUUCGUAUUAUGGGAUACGUGAUAUACAGACAAACUGUCAGGUAACUGAAAAACAACAUCUGUAUAACCCAAAUAA
rnacentral:ncRNA from 2 species